UUCCCUAGUAGCGGCGAGCGAGCGGGAAGAGCUCAAAUUUAUAAUCUGGCACCUUCGGUGUCCGAGUUGUAAUCUCUAGAAAUGUUUUCCGCGUUGGACCGCACACAAGUCUGUUGGAAUACAGCGGCAUAGUGGUGAGACCCCCGUAUAUGGUGCGGACGCCCAGCGCUUUGUGAUACAUUUUCGAAGAGUCGAGUUGUUUGGGAAUGCAGCUCAAAUUGGGUGGUAAAUUCCAUCUAAAGCUAAAUAUUGGCGAGAGACCGAUAGCGAACAAGUACCGUGAGGGAAAGAUGAAAAGCACUUUGGAAAGAGAGUUAACAGUACGUGAAAUUGUUGGAAGGGAAACGCUUGAAGUCAGACUUGCUUGCCGAGCAAUCGGUUUGCAGGCCAGCAUCAGUUUUCCGGGAUGGAUAAUGGUAGAGAGAAGGUAGCAGUUUCGGCUGUGUUAUAGCUCUCUGCUGGAUACAUCUUGGGGGACUGAGGAACGCAGUGUGCCUUUGGCGGGGGUUUCGACCUCUUCACACUUAGGAUGCUGGUGGAAUG
rnacentral:rRNA from 1 species